GUGGGGAAUAUUGGACAAUGGGCGAAAGCCUGAUCCAGCCAUGCCGCGUGAGUGAUGAAGGCCUUAGGGUUGUAAAGCUCUUUCAGUAGAGAAGAUAAUGACGGUACCUACAGAAGAAGCCCCGGCUAACUUCGUGCCAGCAGCCGCGGUAAUACGAAGGGGGCUAGCGUUGUUCGGAUUUACUGGGCGUAAAGCGCACGUAGGCGGAUUGGUCAGUUAGAGGUGAAAUCCUGGAGCUCAACUCCAGAACUGCCUUUAAUACUGCCAGUCUAGAGUCCAGAAGAGGUGAGUGGAACUCCUAGUGUAGAGGUGGAAUUCGUAGAUAUUAGGAAGAACACCAGUGGCGAAGGCGGCUCACUGGUCUGGUACUGACGCUGAGGUGCGAAAGCGUGGGGAGCAAACAGGAUUAGAAACCCUUGUAGUCC
rnacentral:rRNA from 1 species